rnacentral:rRNA from 1 species
UACGGAGGGGGCUAGCGUUGUUCGGAAUUACUGGGCGUAAAGCGCGCGUAGGCGGACCUGCAAGUCGGGGGUGAAAGCCCGAGGCUCAACCUCGGAACUGCCUUCGAUACUGCGGGUCUCGAGUCCGGGAGAGGUGAGUGGAAUUCCAGGUGUAGCGGUGAAAUGCGUAGAUAUCUGGAGGAACACCGGUGGCGAAGGCGGCAUCCUGGACCGAGAUUGACGCUGAUGCGCGAAAGCCAGGGGAGCAAACGGG